GAUGCGUGAUCAAAACCGAAAGUUUCUGUGAUGACUGCCCUUGCACUGUUCACCAUAUGAGUCUACUUUUUCUCAGAUAACUAAGAAGUGGCCAGAUCUUCACCUCAACCCCUGAUGUGGGCAAAAACUUCUCAUUCAUGGCCCUCAAUUACUCCCACAGCAACUAAGCAUUUACAGAAUUUUAGAGUUGGAAGGAACAAGAAUGACCUACCCAAGGAGACAUGGAAGGACCACAACAACAGAUGAAAGAUGGGACCAAGUCAGCAGAAACUGAGCACCCAUCAUUUUUCAAAGAAAUAGCUCUUUUGUCUUCUGUAUGUAUUUGUCUUCCACCAAAGAUUUCAUUCAUUUGUAGAAGAGUUUUGUGGGUUAAAACCCAAAAAGGCUUGAAAGCCACUGACUUGACCUAACACCUCACCUGAUGCUACUGUGUCCCUGUCAAGUGUUCAUUUAUUCUACACUGGAGGAUCCCUGAGAUGGAGAUCCCCCUAUCUCAUGAAACAGCUUCCUCCAUUGCUAAAAUAUCUUUAGCGAGAGGACAGUGUCAGAGGGUCCUUUCUUACACUGGCCAGAGCAACUUAUACAUGGUGGUCCCAAACUGUUAUCACCUAUUCUGACUUGAAGAGAAGAAAAAGAAAAAGGGCAAGAACAAGAGAAUGAUAAAGAAAGAAUGGGUAAAAGAAAAAUAGGCUAAAUUCAAGCUGUGUCUCCAAAAUCUAAUCAUUCAGCCUUCAAUUUUCUUUUCACAUCGUAUUUAUAUUUUCUUAACAGCAUCAUUGAGGUACAUUUGACAUAGAGUAAACUGCACAUGUUUAAGUGUACAACUUGAUAAGUUUUGGCAUGUAUUUACACCUAUGAAAUCAUAACACAAUUGAGAAAGUGAAUAUCUAACCCCCCAAAGUUUGUUUGAACCACUUGGUAAUCUUCCUUUCCCACCUGUCUCUGACUUCUAUCCACAACCGCUGAUACACUUUCUAUCACUACAGCUUAGUUGGUAUUUUCUAGAAUUUUACAUUAGUAGAAUCAUUCAGUAUGUAUGCACUUUUGUCCCACUUUAUUAGCUCAGUAUAAUUAUUUUGAAAUUCAUCUCCAUGUUGUUUUGUGUAUGAGUAAUGCAUUUAUUUUUAUGACUGAGAAGUUUGCCAUUGUAUGGGUAUACCACAAUUUGUUUAAUCAUUCACCUGUUGAUGGACAUAUGAGUUUUUUUCAAUAUUUGGUUAUUAUACCUGAAGUCACUGGGAAUGUCUUUGUAUUAGUCCUUGUAUGUACAUAUUCUCUUAUUUCUCUUGUUUAUGUAGCAGCAAAAUGGCUGAAUCAUAGGGUAGGCAUUUAUUUAACUUUUAAAGAAACUGCCAAACUGCUUUUCAAAUUGGUUGUUCUAUAAUUCAUUCUCAUAAUUCAUUCAUACAGAAGUCUAUGAAAGUUCCUGUUGAUCUUUGUAAUUGUCAACACUUUGUAUGGUCCAUCUUUUUAAAAGCCAUUUGAAUAGGUGUGUAGUAGUAUCUCAUUAUGAUACCAAUUUGCAUUUCCUUAAUAACUAAUGAUGUCAGCAUAUCUUGAUGAACUUACUUAUCAUCCAUGUAUCUUUUUUGGUGAAAUGUCUGUACAAAACAGUUGCCCAAUUUUAAUUGGGUGUUGGUUUUCUUUGAGUUUUCAGAAUGUUUUGCGUAUUCUGGACACAAGUCCUUACCACAUAUGAGAUCUUCAUUUUCUCCCAGAUUGUGACUUGUCUUUUUAUUCCCUUAACAGUAUUUUUCUAACAGCAGAAGUUUUUAAUAUGGAUAAAGCACAAUUUACCAUUUUUUGUCUUUUAUAGGUUGUGUUUUCUGUGUUGCAUUAGAGAGAUCUCUGUUCAACCCAAGGUCAAAAAGAUAUUCUCCUAUAUUUUUCCUAGAAGUUUCAUGGUUUGUGUUUUAUAUUCACAUCUAUGAUCCAUUUUGAGUUAGUUUGUGUUUCUGGUAUGAGAUAGAGAUCAAAAGGUUGCUGUUUGUUUGUCUUUGCUUACAGACAGCCUGGCUUCCCUGGACUCCCACCUCUGUCUCUGUGACUGAGGGAAACUACUCCUCAGCUUUGACUGGAUUCCCAUUCCUCUGCCAUGACCUGGAGACUCUCCAGGUAAUAAGGGUUCGGGUGGUUGUAGGAUUUCCUCUCAGUUGUUUCCCGUCAUUCAGGGAUCACCACCUGUCAUUGCCCAAUGUCCAAUAUCUUGAGUACUGUUGUUUCAUAGCUAUAUUUUUAUUUCCAGCAGUUUCAGGUAAGAAGAUAAACUUGGUUCCUGCUAUUCUAUCUUGACUAGAAGUGUAAGUCUCUAUAUUCUUUCUUUUGUUUUUAUUUCAAGUGUAGUUGACAGACAAUAUUACAUUAACUUCAGGUGUACAACAUAGUGAAUCAACAUGUAAAUGCAUUAUUAAGUGAUCAUGAUAAAUCUAGUUACCAUCUGUCUCCAUACCAAGUUAUUAUAGUGUUAUUAACAGUAUUCCCUAUGAUGGACAUUGUACCCUCAUGUCUUACUUAUUAACUGCAAGUUUGUGCCCUUCCCAUAUUUCACCUUUCAAUCCUCCUCCCCACAGCAACCACCAGUUGGUUUUCUGAGUCUGUUUCUGUUUUGUUUUGUUUGUUUUAUUUUGUUUUGUUUUUUAGAUUCCACAUGUAACUGAAAUCACAUGGUAUUGUCUAUUUCUAUCUGACUUAUUUCACUUAACAUAGUAUCCUCUAGGUCCAUCCAUGUUGUUGCAAAUGACAAGAUUUCACUCUUUUUUAAGGUAACAUACCGCGUCUUCUUUUUCCAUUCAUCUAUCAAUGGACACUUGGGUUGUUCCCAUAUCUUGGCCAUUGAAGAUAAUGCUAUAGUGAACAUGGGGGGUGCAUAUAUCUUUCCUAAGUAGUGUUUAAUUUUCUUUGGAUAAAUACUCAGGAGUGGAAUCGCUGCAUCAUAGAGUAGUUGUUAUUUUAAUUUUUUGAGGACUUCCCAUAGUGCUUUCCAUAGUGGCUAUACCAAUUUACAUUUCUACCACCAUUGCACAAGGUUUCCCUUUUCUCUUUACACCCUCGCCAACACUUGUCAUUUAUGUUUUUGAUAACAGGCAUUCUGACUAGUACAUAGUGAUAUCUCAUUGUGGUUUUGAUUUGCAUUUUCCUGAUGAUUAGUGAUGUGGAACAUCUUUUCAUGUGUCUGUUGGACAUCUGUAUGUCUUCUUGUAGAAAUGUCUAUUCAGGUCCUUGGCCCAUAGAAAUCCCUGUAUUCUUACUUAACCUAAUGUUUUCCUCUUAAAAGGUUAACUUUUCCUUUAUUCACCCUAUGCAUUUAUAGUAAUGUAAUAACAGUUUUGAGACAUUGUUAUACUGUUUUUAUUCAAAUUAAUGUUAAAGUAAAUGUCACACUAUUAACAUUUUUUUAAGGUACAUUUUUAUACCACCUCCAAAUUACCAUGCUUACUCCGGUAGUACCCAUACCACAGGUUGGGCAAAACCAACUUCAAGCAUUCACCUUGACUAUUCUACAUCACCCACAUCCCUCCCCUAGCUCAUGCUGUGAGCAUAGGAAAUUCUCUGGGAGGUCAGUAAUCCACUUUGUACUCACUGGGUUUUAAACUUCUAGAAAAGGAAAACUUUGCAUAUGAAAUCACAUUUAUAGAAAAUCUAACCCUUAGCAUAUUCUACCGUUUUGAAAACAGGUACCACACCUGCAGAAGCAUCAUCUUAUGACUGAGUCAGAGCCCUAAAACCCACCUGCACAGAGGUCCAUGCCGGGGUCAAAAAGAAAGGAAGUUGGGGAUUAAAGAGAAUAAAUUUUGAUAGCCUGGGAAUAUUCCCCCACAAGGAGGUCCAGCACCCAAUACAAAUGGGAACACAUUUCCUGACUCUUCCUGCCAAUACCCACGAGGACUUCGCUGUCUUCCACAGGAUUUCUAACUCCUUCAAAAGCAGAUCUCAGCAUAAUAGUCCUUUGUUAAUCAUUGACUUCACUUCAGUGUUCCUAAGGAGCAACAGCACAAAUGGACUGUAGGGCCAGGUAUGAAAAACCUACAUCAGAAAGAUUCAUAGCAUUUGACGUGCAUAUCAGUAUUGAGGAUAAAAGGGGAGUAUUGGUUCUGUGGAGACCUAGAGAAGGUGUGCUCUGUCUAAAGAGGAGCCCCUGAGUGCCAGCUGAUUGUGAUGUAAGUGCUGCUAAAUCUUCUGAUUUUUAAAAAAUCUGGAAGUCUAGCUUUUCUUCUAGGAGAAAUUUCCUGAUACUUAAAAUUUUUUUUAAAAAGAUAGAAAAAAAGGAAAAUAUUGAAGAAUCCAACAGCAUAAAUCAAUGGACUGUAUUGUAUAUCACCAUUUGACCAACUUUUGGCAGACCUCUAUCAAAGAGAAGCUGUAUUUGAAAACUUU